AUUGAACGCUGGCGGCAUGCCUUACACAUGCAAGUCGAACGGCAGCACGGGAGCAAUCCUGGUGGCGAGUGGCGCACGGGUGAGUAAAGUAUCGGAACGUGCCCAGUCGUGGGGGAUAACGUAGCGAAAGUUACGCUAAUACCGCAUACGAUCUACGGAUGAAAGCGGGGGAUCGCAAGACCUCGCGCGAUUGGAGCGGCUGAUAUCAGAUUAGGUAGUUGGAGGGGUAAAGGCUCACCAAGCCGACGAUCUGUAGCUGGGCUGAGAGGACGACCAGCAACACUCGGACUGAGCCACGGCCCAGACUCAUACGGGAGGCAGCAGUGGGGAAUUUUGGAAAAUGGGCGCAAGCCUGAUCCAGCCAUGCCGCGUGCAGGAUGAAGGCCUUCGGGUUGUAAACUGCUUUUGUACGGAACGAAAAGGUUUGGCCUAAUAAGCUGGACCCAUGACGGUACCGUAAGAAUAAGCACCGGCUAACUACGUGCCAGCAGCCGCCGUAA
rnacentral:rRNA from 1 species